AAUUGUUGUAGUAAUGGUUACGGUACCUUGGGACGUGAAUAUUUAUAUUACAUCAAUGUAAAUUAUUCUAUUAUUUCCGUUGUUAAUGAUUUUGUAAGAUAUUUGUAGUAGCACGUGAUGCACCAAAAAUUCGAGAUAUGGGUGUCUGAAUUUUGGGGGCGUCACAGGUUGGUAUCAAAGCCAUAGUUAUAAACCUUAGGAGCGAGAG
rnacentral:lncRNA from 1 species